UACGUAGGGUCCGAGCGUUGUCCGGAAUUAUUGGGCGUAAAGAGCUCGUAGGCGGUUUGUCGCGUCUGCCGUGAAAGUCCGGGGCUCAACUCCCGGAUCUGCGGUGGGUACGGGCAGACUAGAGUGUGGUAGGGGAGACUGGAAUUCCUGGUGUAGCGGUGAAAUGCGCAGAUAUCAGGAGGAACACCGAUGGCGAAGGCAGGUCUCUGGGCCACUACUGACGCUGAGAAGCGAAAGCAUGGGGAGCGAACAGG
rnacentral:rRNA from 1 species